rnacentral:rRNA from 1 species
AGUGAACGCUGGCGGUAGGCCUAACACAUGCAAGUCGAACGGCAGCACAGUAAGAGCUUGCUCUUACGGGUGGCGAGUGGCGGACGGGUGAGGAAUACAUCGGAAUCUACUUUUUCGUGGGGGAUAACGGAGGGAAACUUACGCUAAUACCGCAUACGACCUACGGGUGAAAGCAGGGGAUAUUCGGACCUUGCGCGAUUGAAUGAGCCGAUGUCGGAUUAGCUAGUUGGCGGGGUAAAGGCCCACCAAGGCGACGAUCCGUAGCUGGUCUGAGAGGAUGAUCAGCCACACUGGAACUGAGACACGGUCCAGACUCCUACGGGAGGCAGCAGUGGGGAAUAUUGGACAAUGGGCGCAAGCCUGAUCCAGCCAUACCGCGUGGGUGAAGAAGGCCUUCGGGUUGUAAAGCCCUUUUGUUGGGAAAGAAAAGCAGCAGGUUAAUACCCCGCUGUUCUGACGGUACCCAAAGAAUAAGCACCGGCUAACUUCGUG